AACGAACGCUGGCGGCAGGUCUUAGGCAUGCAAGUCGAACGGGAGUAGCAAUACAUCAGUGGCGCACGAGUGAGUAACGCGUGGGAAUUUGCGCAUCGGUGGGGAAUAACGUUUGGAAACGAACGCUAAUACCGCAUACGUCGAGAAAUCGAGCAAGAUUUAUCGGUGAUGGAUGAGCCCGCGUUGGAUUAGCUUGUUGGUGGGGUAAAGGCCUACCAAGGCGAUGAUCCAUAGCCGGCCGGAGAGGGCGAACGGCCACACUGGGACUGUGACACGGCCCAGACUCCUACAGAAGGCAGCAGCUAAGAAUAUUGGACAGUGGGGGGAACCCUGAUCCAGCCACGCCGCGUAAAUGAAGAAGGCGUUCGGGUUGUAAAGUUCUUUUAGUCGUGAGGAUAAUGACGGUAGCGACAGAAGAAGCACCGGCUAACUUCGUGCCAGCCGCCGCCGUAA
rnacentral:rRNA from 1 species